rnacentral:lncRNA from 1 species
AUUCCUGCACGUUACUUUUUAACGUAGCUGGCGCCAUUCCCGACCCAUCUUUAUAGUGGCCAGAAAGCCAAGAACAAACACUCCCGCCUUGGAGAAGGGGUUGAGUUCGCAACUCCACUUACAGACUACGGAGGAACCCCAGGGUCAAACCAAACCAAACCAAUUCUGGCCAGUUGCUUAGCGCAGUUCAAGUUACUUAGUGCGCUGGAAGCGGCAUUUCAGGCAAUCCAACUUCUGGCUCGAACCUUCUCGGAGUAUUCCAAGGAUGGAAUACUCUCACUUGAGCGCUGCCGAGGGUGCCGCUUGAGGAAAACGGUCUCACUCCGUCACUCUGCAGGAAUGCAGUGGUGUGAUCAUGGUUCACUGCACCUUGACCUCCUGGGCUCAAGCAUCUUCCCCACUCAGCCUCCCAACAGCAUGAGCCACCAUGCCUGGCUAACAAAUUGAUACCAACUAUCACUCUUCUCAGCUACCUAAAAAGGUGGUCUUCACAAGUUUUAAGAACAUUAAAUGACAAUAUUGGCACAUAAUCAAUAUUUUAUCAUUUUAUAUUUGGAAAAAAACGGGAAGCUGGGGUAAACCAGUUUCUAAAUAAAGCUAAUGAAACUUUAAUUCAUUCAAACACUAUGGUAGUUAUGUUGAUGAUAAGUAAACAUUAUUAUUUAUUUAUACUGUUUCCUGAGGUGAUCCAGAAACUACUGUUAUUAUAGUAGACUUGCUACUAUAUACAUUUACUAUCCCUGCAAAUGUGCUUUGGAAAUAAUAACAAAAAUUUUAAGGUAGACCCAUGUGUAAUUUAACAUGCUUUCUCUGUUACAAAAGCUAUCUUUAGGAAAUUCUUAAGUAUCAAAAAUCCAAUUUAUUCCAUUUUCAGAAGACAAGGAAAAAGCACUCAUAAACUCUAGGCCAUAAAAAAAUAGGUUUCAUAAGUAGCUCCUUUAACAUGAAGAAAAUGACAAUAAAAAUAUCUUACUUGCAUGUUACUUCUGGAAUAAUGUCAAAAAUCUAUGUAGAUCUUUCCAUUUUAAAUGAUGUUAAAAUAGUGUCAGCACUGUGACUGACUCAUAGCAAGUAUGGGUAUCUAUCCAAAUAUUUGUCUUUGAAACAAGAAACAAGUGACCAUCCGAUGAAAAGUGCAUGCCUCUUAACAGUAUCUUUCUGUAAGAAAAAUUAGGUGAUCUAUAUUUACAUUUGGGCAGUGGGGGGAUGAAAACUGCUCUUACCAAGAUGGCUGACUUGAAUAAAGACAGUCAAUAUUUUUCAAAAAAUUCACUGCUCUGGUACUGAGAUCUCCAUGAUAACAGAUUACAGUUAAACAGAAAAUGCUGUGAAAUACCUUUUACAGAACACAGCCUGACUUUGCAGAUUAACUUAAAGAUAUAUUUCUUGAUUAUUUCACUGUUAAAAAUCAAGAAAAACACUACUAACAUUUCAACAUCUUAAAAAUAGAAUUUAUGCAAUGACAUUUUUAAGCUCUGCAUUUUGUAUACUAUUACCGUCUUUAAUUACAGUUAUGUUCAUCCAUAUAUCAAAAGGCAGCACUGGUAACCUUGAUAACAUUAUAUAUGCUUAUGUGUUUAAGACAGUCUUGAUUAAAUAUUUCCAUACCUUAUCUGCAGCCACUAUUCUUAUCCUUUCUUCCCAGGAGGAGAAUGAAGUGGGACUAGGCAUUUACCUGGCACUUGCCUGCACUAUCAUUCAUUGGCACUAAUGAUUAGGAUGCUUGAACCAUGCAGUUUUGUUUCUAUUUCAACAAUAUGACACUGAAGUAGCCAUUAUCUUUUGAUAUUUAAGCCUAAGUAAUAGUAUAUUCUUCAUGCCAAGUUUUGACAGCUCAAUAAUUUGUAUUCUAGAGGGGAAAAAUGAUAUUUUUGCUAUUAUUUAAAAAGAAAAUCAAAAAUGCCAGCUUAAUGCCCCAUUAAAAGCUAAAUUCACCUGAACUUAUUAAUGAUGCUUGCUGAAGACAAAGUGAUUUCAAAACCCCAAAACUGUGUUUAGUAUUUACAAGAAGUAGAAAAAGUAUAUAUUUUUCUGUUAAGAAUAUAAUUCUCUAUCAUUUACAAAUAUAAUUUGGUAAUUUAUAUUUCAAAGCUAUCCUAUGGUCCUAUAUGGAUUAUCAACUUCUAAUUGCCAAUUCUAAAUGUUAUAAUCAUCUAUAUUGGGCCUUGGCCAACCACCUGCAAGUUAUCCUUAACUCCACCAUGAAGAGGGUGCAAGAGAUAUGUUUAUGAAAUGCCUCAAUAUAAUUCUAGUUUUUCAAAACCUCAAGGUAAUAAGCUAACCAGCAGAUUAUUUGUAAACCCACACUACUGAAAUUACAGUGACACCCUUUUAUAUGGUUGAAUUGUAUAAAAUAUGACCAGGGAACUACACCGUAUUAGGUGUUACUUCAUGAAAUUAUGUGUUAUAGCAGUUUCCUAAAUGGUAGUACACAUAUAUACCACUAGAUGGCCCUGAGAUGAUUUUAAGUUAAGUGGUACGUGGAUAAACAAUUUUUAAUAGUUUUACUUUAAUAUUUAUUAUAAAAAUAUAAAAGCACAUAAAACACGGAAUAUGAUUGCUCAAAACAAGACUAAGGUUACAAAAGGCUAAAAAUAUAUUUUUUAAAAUAACCAUGAUAUAGAAUAUGUGAGAGUUCAGGAAGGUGGCAUUACAUUUAGGAAUCACUGUCUCAAGGAAUGAUUUGACUUAGCCAGCAUCAUUUCUGAAUGCUUGUAAUAAUAAGCCACAUCAUAAAGGGGUUUCCUUUCCUACUGUAAAUUCUGGGAAGUUUUUGUACCCCAGAAUAAAUACCUGGAAACAAAAUUCACAUUUAUUUUAAGACUAUGAAUUUUAAAGCAUUGAGUAAAUUUACUUUAAAAGGGUUCACCAAAAUGGUGAAAAAGUUCAGGACCAUUUGAGGAACAUGCUAUUCCUACAGAAGAGGGAAGACUAGAAAGGCACAUUAUAUAUUAUAGUUAUCACUGUGGCAUUCAAAAACAAAUGACCUAAAUAAUCAUUACCAUUAAUAGUUAUAAUACUCUUUCAUAGAAAAGAAGGUAGGCUUGUGCACUAAGUGCUCUUGAUUCUGGAACCACCUGUAAGUAAGUGUCACUAACAUGGACCCACUGGCCUGCUGAUUCAUUAUCAGCCGCUUUCAAACCUAGCAAAACAAAAAGAAGUACAAUUUUAAAGUAAGUAUGCUUUAGGUUCUUACUCUAAAUUACAAACAAUAACAUAUUCAUUACAAACUCUAUCUAAUGCCAAAUUUUACCUGAGAAGCCUGUUUUUUCUUGGGUUAAGCAUUUUCCAAAAAGAACUUUUUUUUUUUUAAAUUAUAUUUUUAAGUUCUGGAAUAUCUGUGUAGAAUGUGGUUUGUUACAUAGGUAUACAUGUGCCAUGGUGGUUUGCUGCACCCAUCAACCUGUCAUCUACAUUACGUAUUUCUCCUAAUGCUAUCCCUCCCCUAGCCCCCCUCCCCCGACAGGCCCAGUGUGUGAUGUUCCCCUCCCUGUGUCCAUGUGUACUCAUUAGAACAAAUUCUUUCAAAGCAUUAAUAUUAUAGGUAUAAUUAAUAAUGCUGUCUGGCCCAGCGCAGUGGCUCAUGCCUGUAAUCUCAGCACUUGGGGAGGCUGAGGUGGGUGGAUCACUUGAGGUCAGGAGUUUGAGACCAACCCAGCCAACAUGGUGAAACCCCGUCUCUAAUUUAAAAAACAACAGACAUUAGCCGGGUGUGGUGGCAGGCGCCUGGAGUCCCAGGUACUUGGGAGGCUGAGGCAGGAGAAUCGCUUGAACCCGGAAGGCAGAGGUUGCAGUGAGCCGAGAUCCUGCCACUGCAAUCCAGCCUGGGUGACAAAGUGAGACCUCAUUUCAAAAACAAACAAAAAAAGCAAAGUUAGUUGGAUGACCCAUAAACAAAGCCAGCAAAUUUUCAACUCCAACUCUUCUGACAAUCUGAUAUGGCUUCAAAAACUUUUGGUAUUGUUAAAUAAAAUGCUACUCCACUAUAAUACACAAUGACUCAGUACCUUAAAAUACCAUGUCAUCUCAUAUGACCUAGAAGGGUACAGUCUUCAUAAUAUUUGAGAUUUUCUAGGCACUCCUAGAGGGAAUUCUUAAGGUGAAUCCAGUUGAG